UCAUCCUGCCACUCUAAACUUCUUUUGUGUUCGAUCAUAAAUUCGAUUUUAUGAUGGCUCGACUCGACUCG
ensembl:ncRNA F15C11.4 ncRNA